rnacentral:sRNA from 1 species
GUGAAAGCCCAUUCCCGAAUUCCAUAUUCCAUAUUUCCAAUAUUCCAUUCCAUUAUUCCAUUAUUACAUUCCAACUGUCAUCAGACAAAACAAACAUCAACCAAGAACAAAAUAAUAACAACUAACAACCAACUAACACUAAUUCUAAGUCCUGGCCAGAAUACAACAUACAUUCCAUACAUCAUGAAUUUAACAAAGCAAAGAAAUCAAGAAAUCGGUGCCAAUGCCAAACUCUUAAUGUGCCCAUUGCGCGGCGUUUGGUUUGGAAGUGGCACCACCGUGAAGUCAUACAUGCCAGUUCGAAUAAUGACCACAAGACCACAAUAAGACCAGCUCAUCAACAAAUGCCGCAAUGCUUCGUCACCCAUGAUGGCAGGGUGGCAGGAUCCUAUGAGCCAUGAUACCUAUGAGGCAUCAUACCCAUAUGUGCAACACUCGCAACAACAACAACAGCAUCUGGAGCAGCAGCAGAUGGCGAAAUUCUCAACCAGUUUGGCUGCUGAACUGAAAUUUGACUACGUUCUCCACACUCCUGUCAAGUAUCGCAAAUAAACAAAUAAACCAAUUUCCCAAAAUAAAAAAAAAAAUAAAAAAUUUCUCCUAUGACAACCAGCAGUUAUGCUAAUUGGGGUCCGAAUUGGUCUGUAAACUGAUAUAGCUUCCAUAUGAAUCUCUCGAUUUGACUAUGCUAUGCGGUCCAUCAACUGAAAUAGCUCCCAUAUGAGCCUAUUUCUAUAUUUGAGCACCUACGGGAAGCAAUUAGUAUCUAUUUACAGCCCACUGUAAAGAACUUGACAAAUCCCAUCCAUGAUGGAGGGUAUAUAAAAUUUUGGUCCAGCCGAACCUGCAAAUGCAAACUUGCCCAUGAACCAUUGAGUGCACACCUCUUAAAGUACCU